rnacentral:rRNA from 1 species
GACGAACGCUGGCGGCGUGCUUAACACAUGCAAGUCGAACGGAAAGACCCUGCUUUUGUGGGGUACUCGAGUGGCGAACGGGUGAGUAACACGUGAGUAACCUGCCCUUGACUUUGGGAUAACUUCAGGAAACUGGGGCUAAUACCGGAUAGGAGCUCCUGCUGCAUGGUGGGGGUUGGAAAGUUUCGGCGGUUGGGGAUGGACUCGCGGCUUAUCAGCUUGUUGGUGGGGUAGUGGCUUACCAAGGCUUUGACGGGUAGCCGGCCUGAGAGGGUGACCGGCCACAUUGGGACUGAGAUACGGCCCAGACUCCUACGGGAGGCAGCAGUGGGGAAUAUUGCACAAUGGGCGGAAGCCUGAUGCAGCAACGCCGCGUGCGGGAUGACGGCCUUCGGGUUGUAAACCGCUUUCGCCUGUGACGAAGCGUGAGUGACGGUAAUGGGUAAAGAAGCACCGGCUAACUACGUG